GUGCAGGCCUGCAUUAGUGAAUCAGAUCCUGCAUUUAGGUGGCUGCAGUGUGGUAUAGCAGAGCCCUAGCACAUUCUACCAGUGCACUGUAGAAAUAUUAACCCUUCCUGAGUGGAAGUCACAGCAGCCAGAGGAUGGACCCUGCUGACUACUGCGAAAUGCAGAAUCAUGCACAUUGAUUGCAGGACAGAUGAGCCGGGCAUUCACCGUUCACUUUUAACAAGGACACUACUAUUAGACGGUCAUUUACAAGCAUGAAACAUACAGGCCUCAGGAUGUGGAGGACACGGUCCUGCCUUUGUCACGAAUGGCGCCUGGAUUCCCAUUUGCCAUGUUGGUGGCUACAUCAGAGCCAGAGCAGCUGGGCUCAUUAAUAAAAUGGAGAUGUUGACAUGAAGGAUCCAGAAGCAGCAGCAGGAGGUGGAGCAAGUGGCUGUUGGACAGAUCUACCUACCUGCCUGGUUCACUAGCUCCAAGUCAAGCAGAGUGGGUCUCGCUGGAACACUUGGUCCCAAAUCAGAGUUCACACAACCUGGGCCAAUCUAUUUGCAUCAAAGAACAACCAAGCUUCCACUCAUCCCACAGGCUUCCGCAGAGUGAUUCGAAGUUAAGGCCAGUUAGGUGGUAGAGUUGCACCUGCCAUAGACUGGUUGUCUCUCCACACAGGUUGCUGAUGAGACAAGACUGCCCUGAGCUUCUGACACUCUCUGUGGGGCAUUCCUCCUUCAGGUUUCUCUCUGGCUUUCAAAGGAUCAUCACUUGGUACCACAUGUCCCGGAGGCUGAGUGUUUGUGCUGCUCAGGGACCAGUGAUUCCUGCCAGGCUUGGAGUUUGGGUUUGCUUCAGGUGGAUUCCAAGAUUUCUGCAAACAUCUCAUCUCGCAUCCUCUUUUUCCGACGCCUUAUCUGAGAUAGCCUUUGGGACGGAGGAGGGAGGCUUGAAAAAUUUGCAGCUGCUGGAGGAAGGGAAAAAAGGAGAAUUUUUUAAAAAGAUACAUUUUACAGAACAAUGCUUAUCCUCUUUCAUGGUGAACAACACUAUUCACGUUACAUAGCACAUGUGAUUUCUGUGCAAGGUCGCAUUUUGCCUCUUAAUAUUGAGUGCCUGUGGCUUUGCUGCUAGAGAUCACAGACGCAGGUCCAGGCAACAGAAUUCGGCUUGCAUGCGGCCAUGGUAAGCCAUUGUCUUUUGGCUUCUGAGCCCUCUUUCUCACAUACCAAGCAAAGCUCGUUGAAUGCUGUGGUUUUCCUGUUAACCUUCAGCAGCAGAAAACAAACUAACCC